rnacentral:rRNA from 1 species
GAGUAAAGCGGCGCACGGGUGAGUAACACGUGGAUAACCUGCCUCAAAGUGGGGAAUAACACCGGGAAACCGGUGCUAAUACCGCAUAUUCUGACGAGGUCUGCGGAUUUUGUCAGGAAAGGAGCAAUUCGCUAUGAGAGGGGUCCGCGGCUGAUUAGCUGGUUGGUGAGGUAAUGGCUCACCAAGGCUACGAUCAGUAGCCGGUCUGAGAGGACGGUCGGCCACACUGGAACUGAGACACGGUCCAGACUCCUACGGGAGGCAGCAGUGGGGAAUUUUUCGCAAUGGGGGCAACCCUGACGAAGCAAUGCCGCGUGGAUGAUGAAGUCUCUUGGGACGUAAAAUCCUUUCGACGGGGACGAAACCGCAAGGUUGACGGUACCCGUAGAAGAAGCCCCGGCUAACUCCGUGCCAGCAGCCGCGGUAAUACGGGGGGGGCAAGCGUUGUUCGGAAUUACUGGGCGUAAAGGGUGCGUAGGCGGCUCUCUAAGUCGGAUGUGAAAACUCUGGGCUCAACCCAGAGCCUGCAUCCGAAACUGGAGGGCUAGGGUUCUGGAGGGGAAAGCGGAAUUCCUGGUGUAGCGGUGAAAUGCGUAGAUAUCAGGAGGAACACCGGUGGCGAAGGCGGCUUUCUGGACAGAUACCGACGCUGAGGCACGAAAGCUAGGGGAGCAAACAGGAUUAGAUACCCUGGUAGUCCUAGCCCUAAACUAUGGAUACU